UUCAAGAAAUUAAAUUAAGCAGGCAAUUUGGGAAGAAUGGGAGACAAAGAAACUGGAAAUGGGAAAAAUUCCCACAACCCGCGUCUAGGGGAACAUAGCCCUUGCGCAAACACGUGCACAGUAGGGCUUCGCGCUGUUCGAAGCAUGGGUACCUACGCGCAGGGCUUGCAUGCAAAACCCAUGGUGAGGUGCGCAUUGAAUUUUAUGCUUUUAGCUGAUGUGACUGCCCAUCAAGUCUCGCAGCCAUGCCGCAUGGUCCCGCAGCCAUGCUUUCCUUCUUCACUGUUUGGAUCGCCACCACAUGGCACGAAUCCGACCACUAAUUUUUUUUAAAAUAGAGUCCCCUCCCCCAAUCUUCACUACUUCCAUUUUUCUAAAGCUAGAGAGGGAAAACGAAAGAGUUUUGGAGAGAGAUAAAAAAGAGGAAGAGUGGAAGAAUUUCAAGCUUUGCUUAGGAAAUUUCUAUGAUAUUUUCUUUGCUUCCAAAGAGCUAGAUCAACUCGACACCGGUAAUAAUUUUUUGGUAUUUCUACUUACAUUUUGAAGUAUUUUUUUAGUAAACUUACUUUGUCAAAAUCAUUAAAAUGGACUACAUUGCUUACUUUGUGAUCCAUUUCGAUUUGUGCAAGAUUGAUGAUUUAUUUACGAUGUUUGCUAUUUUAUUUUUUGAUAAAAUGAUAUGACUACAAGCUCUAGAAUUAACCCUUUUUUCCUAUCAUUGAUAACGGCAAAGAGGGUUGUUAUAUGAAACUCCGGUUUUAAGGAAUACACCGGUUGUUAAAUACAAAAAUAACAGGCCGAUUGGCUGAAAAUGUGUUAGAGUCCUAUCGGUUUCGAGAUUUCCGUGUAGCAGCAUGGGUUUUCUCCCUUUCAGUUGGGUUUUGCUCGAGUUUCUUCUUCCUCGAAUCUCAAAAAAUAAUCUUUAAAUGUGGAAGAAGGUAGAGGUUGUGAGUUGGAAGCUUCUCCCCCCUUGGAUUACAUGCAAUUCAUCUCAACCCUUCAUCCUCAAGAGUGGCCGACAGCUUCCUGCUCCAAUUCUCUUCCUUCACGCUUUUUCUUUUCUUUUAUUUUUUCAUGACCACGGUUUCCUUAAUUUAUUCUCAAUUUGUGCAGAUUUAUGUAGCCUGUAUAUAUCUUUAUAAUUAUAUAUAUCUGUAUACAUGUAAAUAUACAUAUAUAUAUUACAUGGCUAUGAUAAUCUAAAACAGUAACACCUAGAUUCCACUUUCUUCCCUUCUUAUUUUAUAAUAUAUAUAUAUAUAUGUACCAUCAAUUAAUUAAUUAAUUUAUAUGUAGCAUGGCCCUAAUAAUCUUACAAAAUGCCAAUUCAUGCUUGUUGUUUUCUCUUGGGUACCCAAUGCCACUUCUUCAUUUCUUAAUCAUUUUAUUCAUUUUUCUCUUUUAAUUUAUUUGAUGACCCUCUUCUUAUUUCUUUUUUAUAUAUAUAUAUGAAUGUGCGUAUAUUAAUUUACAUAUAGAUAUAUGUAACCUUAAUUAAUUAAUUUAUAUAUUUGUUAAAUUACAUAUUGUAUAUAUAAUAUUAAAUAAUUCAUGUAGUCCUCUAUCCUCUCUCUUCAUAUAUAUUUGUAUAUUAUAUCACCUUAAUACUAAUUUAAUUAACUUAUAAUAAUGUAUGUAUGUUUAUACUUUCAUUAAUUAACAUGUAUACCUAUAUAUUGCCUUAUAUUAUAUAAUUUAUAAUAUGAGUAAUUUAGAAUAUUUUCUUCUUUCCAUCAUUUCCUUUAGUCAUGGGUUAAUUUGUCUUUCCUCAAUUUCGGGUUCCAAACUCCAAUUAUUUUAGGCUCGUAAAGGAUCUAAAAAUGUAAAUUUAGGAUUUUUCAUGGAACAGUUUUCUUAAACUUCUUUCUCUAAAUCUAAUUUUUUUUUUUUUGUGUUUAUCAUAAUUUUUAUGUACACACGCAUAUGUAACACCCUUAUCAUACACAAAGAGAGACACCAAGGAGUUUUAGGAGAUUACAUCUUACCUUCCACAUAUAAACUCAAGCCCAGUCACUUGGUUAGAGCACCAUCUUUUCCUUAUUUUGUUGGUGUUGCAUGCAUAGAAUUCAUUUUGCUUCUGGAUAUGUGGUAUAGCCUUCUCAUGUAUGACUUUAAUCAUUUUAGCUCUCUAUUUUGCAUCUAUGUUUGUAAUUUCUUACAAAGGUAGCGAUGAUAAAUUGAGUGGAGUUAUGGGAUUAAAAUAAUGAACCAUCUCAAAAUGCAUAAACCUUGUAGAAGUAUGAAUACUACGAUUGUAUGCAAGUUCAACCAUAGGUAAAAAAUCUUCUCAAAUUUUCAGAUUUUGACUAACUACAGCCCAUAAUGGAGAUCUUAAGGACCUACUGACCACCUCAAUUUGUCCAUUAGCUUGGGGGUGACAUGUUGUAAAAAAAUAGCAAUUUAGCUCUUAAUUCACCUAAUAAAACUCAAAAAAAUGGUUAAAGAACUUCAAAUCCCUAUCACUCAUUAUUGUCCUAGGAAUGCCAUGCAACCUCACAACAUCCCUAAAGAAAAAAUUCGUACUUUUUUUCACAUCACUACUUUUAUGGUAUGUAAUGAAGUGUGCCAUUUUACUAAAAUAAUCCACUAAGAAAAAUAUGUUGCUAUUAGCCCUCCUAGUCCUACACAAUCCCAAAAUAAAAUCAAUGGAAAUAUUUAUCCAGGGUGUCGUAGUGACAAGUAAAGGUGUAUAAAAUUCAUGAGGUAAUACCCUAAAUUUAGUCUACCUACAUGUAAUGCAUUUACUAUAUUUUUGUUCUACAUCCUUCCUCAUAGUAGGCCACUAGAAGUGUUCAUGCAAUAUGUCUAGAGUUUUUUGUUACCGCAAAGUGUCGUAUAAGUUCCCCACUAUAUGCCUCCUGCACUAACAAUUUCCUAAAUGAAUAGUUAGGCACACAAAGUUUACCAUCCCUAAGGAGAAACCCAUUAUGCCUAUAAAACUUCUAGAAUACAUGAUGCUCAUAUGCAUCAUAAACAUAGGAAAAAUUAAAAUCGUUAGCAUAGAUCUCUUUAAUAUGUUCAAAUCCUAAAAACUUAAAGUUUUGAGUAGAAAUCAGAGCACACUUGCAAGAUUGCAUCACCUAUAAUAUUAUCCUUACCUUGUUCAUACCUAAUAACAUAUGAGAAUGACUCGAUGAAUGUGACCGACUUACUAUGUUGGUUGUUGAGUUUUCCUUGGCCCUUCAAAUGCUUUAGGGACUCAUGAUUAGUGUAGAUCAUGAGCUCCAUUGGCAAUAGCUACUGUUGUCAUACCUCUAAUGCUCAUACCAAGGUGCACCGCUCCUCACUGUAGUUUAGUAGUGCUCUCAUGAGUUUUUCACUAAAAUAGGUUAUCGAGCACCCUUCCUGCAUCAGAACUGCUCCUAUAUCUAUACUUAAAGUAUCACACUUAAGCUCAAAAGUUUUAGUAAAAGCAAGUAAUGGAAGAAUAAGUGCAUAAAAUAACUUUAAAAAAAAAAAAGCAAAAGUAGUUUCCUGUUUUUCAACCCAUACAAACUUAACAUUCUCUUUAACUAAUUCAUUGAAAGGAGCUAUAAUAGAACUGAAAUCCUUAAUAAAUCUGCGAUAGAAGCUUAUCAAUCCAUAGAAACUUCUUACUUCACUAGCUGAUGUAGGCGUAGGCCAUUCUCUGAUUGCUUUUACCAUAUCGUCAUCAACUUUAAUGGCCUAUUAAUUUAAAAUAAAUCAUUAAAAAGUUAGCUUUUCACUACAAAAGGUACGCUUCUUGGCAUUGACAUAUAAUUGUUCCUUCUAGGGACCUCUAAGACAGGCCUGAUAUGCUCUGAUAUACUGAAUAUGAUCUUCUAAUGAUUUACUAUAAAUUGGUUUAUCAUUAAAGUAGACUAUGAUAAAUUUACCAAGGAAUUGUCUUAAGACAUGGUUCACUAACCUCAUAAAAGUAUUAAGUGCACUAGAUAAUCCAAAAGACAUAACUAACCAUUCAAACAAACUAUAUUUAGUUUUAAAAGAAGUUUUCCAUUAAUCACAAGGUUUCAAUCUAAUGCUAAAUUACUUAUAGUGGUGGAAGAUUGUAACACUCCGCCCAUCUUUGUGCUUAAUUAAUUUGGAAAACCUUACUUGUUCGAGCCUUUGCCCACAUUAAACUCAUUUAAAUUAUAUCGCAUAUUAUUUAUUGUAAUUUGUAAAACUAAUUGAUUUUUAAUUAUUUUAUUUUUAUUUAAUUUUAUUUAGUUUUAAUUUUUAUUAUUUAAUUUUUUAUUUAAAUUAUUUAAAUUAAUUUUAGAAAAUUUGAAAAAAUAAGAAAAACGGCAAAGCAAGAAGAAAUCCCACAGGAUUUUCAGAGCUACUAGCAUGGGUGCUGCGCAUUGUGCGCGCAUGCACGUGCGCACAGCAGCCGCGGGACGUGCACACGGCACGUUUGUCGCAUCCACAUGCCCCCACACACGGGACGUGUGCAUAACGUGCACGUCCCCUAUACGCGCACGACAUAGGGAGAUUUUGUGCGCAUCUUGUCGCACUCAAAUAGGCUGUCCGUGCGUCACCUCGCGCACGGAUAGGUGCUACACACUGUGCGUGCACGGAUAGGCGCCACACACUGUGCGUGCACAGAUAGGCGCUGCAUAUUGUGCUCACACCGUCAGCGUAACAAGCUUGUGCGAAUAGGCCCUACACGCCUAGGGCCUACUCGCGUGCGUGAUAAGAAGCCUUUGGGCCUGUGUGCUAGCCAGCAGCACGCCGACCGAGCUACUUUCGCCUCGGGUAGUGCGCUGUCAUCGUUGCGGGUUGUGCGUUGCUGUCGCUUGUGGAGGAGGGCCUCUUUCCUAAGUUUUUUGUGCCGAACAUCUUUUUUUCCUUUUUCUUCACCAAAUUUUGCCACUUGGCAUGAAUACAACUGUUCUAAAAUUCUAUAAAUAGGUCUUCCCACCCCAUUCUUCCCUACACUUCCAUUCUUCAAUUUUUCUAAACUUAGAGAGUAAUCUAGUGAAAGAAAGAGGAAAAGAAAAGAGGAAUAGUGAAGGAGAAAACAUCAAAGUUUUGGUAAGAAAUUUAGUAUUUCUUUCGACGUCUUAAGGGAUAUUUUUAGAUAGAAUAAACUUAUUAAACAUGAUGAUUGUGAUUUUGCCUGCUUGUAUGCCUUCGUGUUUAUAGUUCAAAUAAGUUGAAUUGUUUUUGUUUUCAAACAUGGUAUGUGAAUUAUAGACACUUGAUGAUUUGCAUGUAAUAAAAUAUAAUAUGAAGGCGGUAUUAUUGUCUGGUAAAAAUAAAAAAAAAAAGAAAAAGAAAGAGAAAAGUGGAAUGAAGUAUGAAUGGUUCGAAAUACAUAUUUGUAUGGACAUGUAUAUUGCAUCAAGUGUCUAGUUAGGUUUUUUUAUCUCUGAGGGUAUCUAUUUCCCGGAGCCCCUCUGGGUAUCUAUUUUUUCCACCCGCAUUUGGUCUAAAAAGACGUAAGAGAACCGUUUGUAGUGGAUAACAGCGUACUAUCUGACGAGAGUGGUAACUUGAAUAUCUGUUAGGGGUCACCCUUAGCUAAGUACUAUCGUGACUCUAGAUAUAUGAUAGGGCCACUAUAGUUGGUACGACCGUGAUCAUAGAUCACACCAUGAUUUGGCUAGCCAGAAAUGGGCCUGAGCAAAUUAUUUUAUCUGUAUAUGAUCUAGUCAUUUCACUUGGGUAGUUGAAAAUUUGUGUUUGCCUUAAAAAUGGAAGUUGUAAUGAUGUUGCAAAGCAUAACACGAAAAUCUAAGCAUUUUAUGAUUUAUUUGAUUUUUUUUAUUAUCUAGCAUGAUGUAUGUUUGGUUUGUUUAUAUUAAUGUACUAUUUUUUUAAUAAAUAAAUUAUUUUCAUAAUGCAAGUUCGGUCUAUGAGGUGGCCAAAUGGUAAGGUUUUAAGUAAAAUAAUUCACCUUUAAAACUUUACAAUGUUAAUUUAAUAUUAUUUUUCUUACUGAGCAUAUGGAACUCACUCUUUCCACCCUAGAUGAGGAAGAAAAUGAGGAACUGCAGGUUGACCUACCCUUGGAAGUCUAUGAGGAUCCCGUGGAUCCAUAGAAUUUGAGUGCAUAAUUACUCUUGCACUCUUAUGAGUCCAAUAACAUAGUAAAAGAAGUGGCAUUCUUUUGUAUUUUAUUUUUUUUUUAUAUUUUAUUGCCACUUCAAACCUCAGUUAUAUAUAUGUAAUUGGAAUUCAGGUAUAUAUUUGUAAGGAAUUUUUAUUAAUAGUUUUGCUGCAUAAAAUUUUAUCACGCACUCGUUUUUCUGAAUUUAUAUCUGACAUUUAUUUUCCUUAAUUAGCAUCUGAGAGGUCACAAAGAUCAUCCGGUAUCUCCUCUAAAUAGACCUCUUUAAAUUCUUGAAAAAUUGAGAAAAAAACGUUUGUAAAAAAAGAGUUAAGGUCAUAUAAAUUAAAAAAAGAGUUAAGGUCAUAUAAAUUAAAAAAAGUUUUAUACCAAAAUAGAAUUAGACUUUUUUUCUCACAUAUCGCUUGCCUCACUUCUCUCUCACAUAAAGACACCCUUUUCUAAUCUCUCUUACACUCUUUUAGUGGGCCAUUUUUAUUUUUCUUUUGGACCUCUUUUCACUCAUUGUUCCAUUCUUGUUAUUUUUAUGGAAUCUUUUGCACUUAGUGAACUAUUUUUAUU
rnacentral:lncRNA from 1 species